rfam:Brachypodium distachyon strain Bd21 chromosome 1, whole genome shotgun sequence.
UAGCUUUGUCCUAAGUCAAACCUUUUUAAGUUUGACCAAGUUUAUAGAAAAAUCUACUAAGAUCUACAAUAUCAAAUGAGUGUGCUAUGAAUAUAUAUAUAUAAUAAAACUAAUUUGGAGUUCUAGAUUUUGGUAGGUUUUUCUAUAAACUUGGUCAAACUUGAAGGAGUUUGACUUAGGACAAAACUAG